rnacentral:rRNA from 1 species
AUGAGCGCGCCGGCGACGACGGCAGCAACGCAGUGCACUCUAGUAGUUGCCGUGGUGCACUCUAGUGGCCGUUGUGGUACAGCUCAAUGGCUGGCGAGCUUGGUGACGCGACAGGUGCAGUUAGCUGAGCAGACACUCUUCUCCAAGCGAGAAGAGGAGGGGGAUCUUGGUUCCUGUCCACGUGCAGUUCAGGCGAUGCGCCCGUGCGGUCGCAUAGUGGCGUGUGUGAUGCAGUUUUGCAUCUCCUCUCGGGUGGACACAUAG